rnacentral:piRNA from 1 species
UGCUGAUAGAAUAGAGUUUGCUGGUC